rnacentral:lncRNA from 1 species
UUUCUUACUCUUCUUAAUCAAGUUAGACUACCUUCAACAGUAUUUUGCAUGCUUCAGUAAGCUAGAAAGACUGAAAGUUAAACACUUUACUUAGGCACAUCAUUUUUUAGACUAGGUACUUGUGCACUCAGGACCGGUAUGUAUUAUUCAUUUUACACUUGAAUUUAACUUUAUUUGCUCAUAAAAGCAAUACACAGAGGCUUCUGCAGAUUGUCACGGAUGGAUUCGGCCGAGUGAGGACUGGAGAAACGGAAAGCCCGGAAGUCUCGGGGAAGAAAGCUGUUGCCAGUGUGAGUGUGACGUUUGAGUACUCUGAGCAUUAGUAGGGCGUGCUCUCCGUGGCAGCCUGGAGCUGCAUCUCUCCUGCUGCCGUGGGUACCAGCAGCUGGCGGGCACUUCUGCCUCUGAGGCCGGCGCUUCCCCGCUGGGCCUUGUUACCACAGCUUCCCUCUGUGCACACCAAGCUGCGGCCUCUGUUAGACACCAGCAGCCGCCCCACACGCAGGGUCACCGUGAGGGUGUCUGCUGCAGCCCGCCGUCCCCCGCCUGUCCCUGUCUGACCUCUCCCCGCGUCCUGGAAUCAGUACUUCCUGUGGCGGUUGUGGUUGGGUUGGUACCUAACUUCCUGCCUCGUAUGGCUCUGGGCCUCGUUUUCGCUUCAUUUUUCUGAGAAAGUAGUAUUUUACGUAACUUCUUUGUAAUCUGGUACCUUCGGUACAUUGUCUGUGGUAAUGAUUAUGAACUUGGGCUCCUGUAGCCUCGCUGUGGCAGAGAGUGCCUACCUGCCUGCUGUCACCUGUUUCUCCUUUGGAAGCGGUACCCUGAUUUACUCAGAGUGGGCAGGCCCACUGUCCUCAGAGAGACUAGGACGCGGCCCAUCCCGAGGACGCGCCCUGAAUCCAUGUGGGUGGACGCGGAGCCCCACCUCCGUUCAGCCGAGCCGAGGCCACAGCUUUGCACACGAAGCCAGUGGAUGUCACAGCCGUUCCACAGCCAGGAAGCAGCAGAUAUUUCGGAGAACCCUUCCAGACCACAGUCCACUCACUCCUGAAAUGACCCAGGGUUUGAGAGUCGGCUCCGGUGACAACGAGGUGUCUGGGCUGAGGAGCUGAGCCCGGGACAGCAGCAGGAGCCAG